CCUACGGGUGGCAGCAGUGAGGAAUAUUGGUCAAUGGGCGGGAGCCUGAACCAGCCAAGUCGCGUGAGGGACGACGGUCCUAUGGAUUGUAAACCUCUUUUGUCGGGGAACAAAGGCGCCCACGGGUGGGCGGAUGAGUGUACCCGAAGAACAAGCAUCGGCUAACUCCGUGCCAGCAGCCGCGGUAAUACGGAGGAUGCGAGCGUUAUCCGGAUUUAUUGGGUUGAAAGGGUGCGUAGGCGGACAGUCAAGUCCGCGGUAAAAAGGCGGCGCUCAACUCGGUACAGCCUUUUAAACUGGCAGUCUUGAGUGGGCGAGAGGUAUGCGGAAUGCGUGGUGUAGCGGUGAAAUGCAUAGAUAUUACGAAGAACUCCGAUGGCGAAGGCAGCAUACCGGCGCCCGACUGACGCUGAGGCACGAAAGCGUGGGUAUCGAACAGGAUUAGAUACCCGGGUAGUC
rnacentral:rRNA from 1 species